AAACAAGAAAAAGACAGAAAGAAAGAAAAAAAGGAGAGCAAAGUUGAAAUUAAACUAAUGGGUUACUCCCUCAGUAUAUUCCUCAUCACAUGUUUCUGCCUUUUAUUUGCCCAAACGAGGUCUUCAGAACAAGUAGGGAUUGAAAAGCUUGAGUUGAUGACAGACGCUGAAUUGAUCGGGCAGAUGAGCACAACUGAUAUUUAUUCUUUC
rnacentral:ribozyme from 1 species